rnacentral:rRNA from 1 species
GAUGAACGCUAGCGGAAGGCAUAAUACAUGCAAGUCGAACGGAUGUAGCAAUACAUUAGUGGCGCACGGGUGCGUAACGCGUAUGCAACCUACCUCCAUCAGGGGGAUAACUACCCGAAAGGGUGGCUAACACCGCAUAAUACUAUUGAGUGGCAUCGCUUGAUAUUUAAAUCUGAGGAGGAUGAAGAUGGGCAUGCGUCUGAUUAGCUAGUUGGUGUGGUAACGGCGCACCAAGGCGACGAUCAGUAGGGGAACUGAGAGGUUGGUCCCCCAAACUGGCACUGAGAUAAGGGCCAGACUCCUACGGGAGGCAGCAGUAGGGAAUAUUGGUCAAUGGUGGGAACACUGAACCAGCCAUUCCGCGUGCAGGAAGAAGGGUCUCUGACUUGUAAACUGCUUUAGCAAGGGAAGAAAAAGCUCAUGCGUGAGAAAUUGACGGUACCUUGAGAAUAAGCACCGGCUAACUACGUGCCAGCAGCCGCAGUAAUAC